CGCUAGCCGCCAGGAGCGGAGCACCAUCAUCUGUGCGGCGUGCGAAUGUGCCGCCGGCGCCGGGAUGUUGCCGUCGCUGGCGCGCGCCGGCCGGGCCCCUCUCCGCCGCCUCGUCUCCACCACCUCCUCUCCCCGAGUCCUAUCGCCUCGCGUCCCGUACGCCAUCAGCAGCGGCGGCGGCGGUAACCUCCCGCCUCUCCUCCUCCCGCUCUAUGCUUGCUCCUCGCCGUCUCGCGACGGCGCAUGCGGCCCGGCGCCCGGCGCCCGGCGAGGAAUGAGCUUCUGCGCCCGCGCGGUGGACGUCGGGGACGAGACACCCUCCAGCUCCGCCGCCGCGGGCUCCGACCUCUCCGCGCCUUACCUCUCCGUCCGCAUCCGAUGCCGCAAGCAGGACGCGGAAGUGCUCUCCGAUGCGCUCUUGUGCUUCGGUGCUAGUUCUGUGACUGUGGAUGACAUUGCCGAUGCUGGAAAUCUCGAUGAAAUCUCCAUAAUCUCCAUAUAUGCCGAUGGGGAAGACGUGGACUCGAGCGUUUCAAGUGCCACUAGCUCGGCUGGUUUGAACUACAGCCCAGUGUAUGAAACCUCUGUUGGGAAACAGUGCGAUUGGGUGGCAACUGUGCAGGAAACAUGCGAGUCCACUGAAGUGGCUGAUGGUCUAUGAGUUGUUCCUAAAUGGAGAACCCCCCCUGAUCCGCAGGCCACAAAUAUAAUCGUCAAUCCAGGUUUGGCUUUUGGGACGGGGGAGCGCCCGACAACUAAGUUGUGCCUUCUACUUCUACGAGAAGUUAUUAAAGGGGGUGAACAUGUCUUGGAUUAUGGAACAGGCACUGGAGUUUUGGGGAUUGCGGCUCUGAAGAUGGGUGCUGCUCUAGCUACUGGGAUAGACAUAGACCCUCAAGCUAUAACCUCUGCUUCUGAAAACUUGUUACUGAAAGGUUUGCAUUCCAACCAAAUGCCUGUUUUCUUGGUACCAAUGAAUGCCCAGCCUUCAUCUUUCCGAAAUGCCGUUGACAAAUCAGAAGAGAACAAACUAAUCAAUAACCCUGACUUGAAGUCUUCAAGAGGAACAUACGAUGUAGUUGCAGCAAACAUACUUCUGAAUCCCUUACUGGAGCUGGUUGAGGACAUAGUUGGUUAUGCAAAACCUGGUGGAGUAGUUGCCAUUUCUGGAAUUUUAGAGGAGCAUGUGCCAAAAGUCAAAGACGUUUACUCAUCAUACUUGGACAGCAUAUCGGUAUCUGAAAUGGAUGGAUGGGCCUGUCUUCAGGGAAUGAGGAGGGUGUAGUGGCAAUUUUUUUUCUCCGCCACAGUCAAAGUAUCUUUGAGCAUACAAUUUUUCUGACCAUCACGAGUCUUUCCUCCAGAAUUAGAAACUUUAUCCUAACUUCUUGACACUUUUUGGUAGGAUUACUUGAAUAUCAGAGAGUGAAUGUUUUGGACGAUAAUAGCCUGUUGAGUAUAUGUUCCCUGUGACGGAUUAAAUAUGUUUGAAGUGAUAAUCAUACAACCUUCACUAGUCAUUGGUCAUUGCAUGUUUAAACAUUGUUGAUUUUUGAAUUGCCACACCAGCUAUUGAGAUUGUAAGUUUGGUUGAAACCUCGAUGUUUGAGAAGUCCUAUUUUACUGUAUUUGACUGACUGAUGUAUCACUUUCGGGGCUUGAGAAGUCCUAUUCUACUGUAUUUGACUGACUGGUAUAUUAAUUUCUGGGUUUGAGAAGUCCUAUCUUACUGUAUUAGACUGACUGAUAUAUCAA